rnacentral:rRNA from 1 species
UACGUAGGGUGCGAGCGUUGUCCGGAAUUACUGGGCGUAAAGAGCGCGCAGGCGGUCGUUCAAGUCGAGUGUGAAAGCCCCCGGCUCAACUGGGGAGGGUCAUUCGAUACUGAUCGACUCGAAGGCAGGAGAGGGAAGUGGAAUUCCCGGUGUAGCGGUGAAAUGCGCAGAUAUCGGGAGGAACACCAAUUGCGAAGGCAGCUUGCUGGGACGGUACUGACGCUGAGGCGCGAAGGCGUGGGGAGCAAACAGG